UCCACCUCAUUUCUUAAAUUAAAAUUUAAUAAUUAUGAAAUUGUGAAAUUUGUACAUUUGUGUAUAAUUAUACACUUUGAAAUUAAACAUCUCAUCUCAUAUUGUUCAGUCUUUGUUGGUGCAGUUGAAACAAAUGGAGAAAGUCAUGUAAUGUUUUGGGGGGCAAUGAGCUGAAUCAGCCUCUGUUAGACGGCCUGGCCGGAGGAUGGAUGGAAGAGGACUUCUGGAUGCUGGUGGGCUGGGUUCAACUCCGAACUGAGAGGAUUUGAAGCCGUGUUUUGUUCCAGUAAGGUCCGAUACCAGUAGAAAGAAAGUCACAGAUUUGGGACAACAUGAGGCCACCAACGGAGGGCGAUGUUUCCCAUGAAAUGAAUCGUUCCUCUUCAUCUAUGAAGCUAAAUGGAAAGAAUGUCAACAAGGUUGUUUCCCCUGCUCAUAAACUGCUUCCAGAUUACCAUACUUUCACAAUAUGCACUCAAAUCGUUGAUGAAGUCCUUAUUUCUUGACGGAUGAUGACGUAUGCUCUGUAUUUAUUGAGAAGGUCAGAUCUCAUAGAAGAGCAGCUCGUGCACGGGUGGAGCAGAAGGAGAGAAGGAAUGGAGUUAAAUUAAGGAUAUCAUUGGACUGACAGUGAUCUGGGCAGCUCUCGAUAAGAUCCUCGGCUCUGCGGAGCGCCAGACGACGUGAGAAGGUCUGGCGGCGGGAUGGGGAUGGGGAGGGGGAAGGGGGCAGUUAAAAGUUUUCCGAGCCGUCUUCCCCCUUCAAUUUGCAUGCUUAAUGAUGCUGAGCAGGAGUUAAUAGUGGGUGUAAUGGCUUCUGACUGACCGGGCUCUGGAGUGGACCACAGGCUGGGCCACCGGAGCAGGGGUGGGGAGGGGUUAACGCACACCAUACGGCUCUGCACUCGCUCGCUCGCUCUCUCCCUCUGCCUCUCUCUGCUGUCUUUUGUGAGAUAACAGAGCUUGCCGCUGUGGCCUUGUCUUAUUAAACAUGUUAUCAUUGCCUGUAACCUUUCUCUCCAGUCCCUUCCUUUUCAAAAUAGAGGAAAAGCUGCCUUUGUCUGUUUUUAUUCAGGGACCUAUCUGACCCACUGCGAGAGGAGAAAGAGACCUGAAAGAAAUCAAAUGGCAAUUUCUGUCUACAUUAAUGUGGUCCUUUGUUCUGAGAGGGACGCCUUUGUCAGCCGGUGGAUAUAGCAGCAUGUCCUCUGUGUAGAUACAGCCAUCUAAACAGAUCAGCCACUCCAAAUCACACAGGAAAUACAAGCAAUGGAAAACUUGUUUUUUGUGUGUGUAGAUAAGGCCUAAAGGGCAAAGUUCAGGAAAACCACUGUAAUAAUGGAAAGAUAGCUCUAUUGUCUGCAAAAUGCAUGUGGCGUGAACAGAUUUCUUUGCUUUUUUUUAAUGAUGAAUGAAUGUUUAGUAAUGUUUACAGUAAUUUACAUAUAAUGGAGGCCAUA